GUGGGGAAUCUUGCGCAAUGGGCGAAAGCCUGACGCAGCCAUGCCGCGUGGAUGAUGAAGGUCUUAGGAUUGUAAAAUCCUUUCACCGGUGAAGAUAAUGACUGUAGCCGGAGAAGAAGCCCCGGCUAACUUCGUGCCAGCAGCCGCGGUAAUACGAAGGGGGCUAGCGUUGCUCGGAUUUACUGGGCGUAAAGGGCGCGUAGGCGGACAUUUAAGUCAGGGGUGAAAUCCCGGGGCUCAACCACGGAACUGCCUUUGAUACUGGGUGUCUUGAGUAUGAGAGAGGUGUGUGGAACUCCGAGUGUAGAGGUGAAAUUCGUAGAUAUUCGGAAGAACACCAGUGGCGAAGGCGACACACUGGCUCAUUACUGACGCUGAGGCGCGAAAGCGUGGGGAGCAAACAGGAUUAGAUACCCGUGUAGUCC
rnacentral:rRNA from 1 species